GCCUGGCUAGCUCAGUUGGUAGAGCAUGAGACUCUUAAUCUCAGGGUCAUGGGUUCAAAUCCUAUAUUGGGUG